rnacentral:misc_RNA from 1 species
AUGAGAAUACUUUUAUUUCUAAUUUUCAUUACUAGUGUCUAUUCAAAUACUUUUGAUCCGGCAGAUGUCUUUGAGAAUGCGUUAUUGACAUACGUUAACAAAAGUGUGUGCCCCUGUGAGAAUUUCUAUAGGCAUGCAUGCUCGUUUGAUAGCCCACGCAAUUUAAUGGCAACUGCACUCAAAAACUUGACUUAUGAACUCAGACAAAAGCAAGCAGACUUGUUCUGGAAUCAUAUCACGCUUGUUUCCGACUACAAUCAGAAAUGGGCGCCGCAAAAAGAUCUGAUCGAUAGUCAUGCUGCAAUGGUUGAAUUUUUCGUUACUUUUAUAUAUGAUCUCUCGGUUUCACAGGAUUCAGUGUUGGACACGAAAUUGGUCAUUCAUUUUUUGCUAACCACAGUGGUACGGACAUCCUUCCGUAUUUCUCAGAAAAUGUAGAAAAAUGUGUGCAAAAUCAAUUUAAUUCCACAUGCAACGAAUAUAAAGAAGAAUCAUGUGUGACAAGGAACGAGAUGCUAGAUGACAACGGAGCAGAUAUUUUCGGUCUACAACUUGCAUAUAAACUGAUGGAAAAAUAUUUGUCUGGAAGACUAGAGGAAAGAAUUGAGCGCCUUAAUGUAACCCAGGAGCAGUUGUUUUUCUAUUCAUUUGCUAAUCAGUUUUGUUCCGGGAGUUUAUCAAAAGUUUUCAUAGAGGAAGAGGGAGACUAUGAUCCCCAUUCAGUAAACAAUGUAAGAGUAAAUGCUGUUGCGCAACACCCAGGGUUCCGAAAAGCCUUCAAUUGUCCCGAUAAUUCAAGAAUGAUGAAAUCAGCAACGGAACAGUGCAUUAUUUAUGGAGAAAAUGCACCGGAAACAAGAAAAAGGAAGAAAUUUCAAGAUAAUCUCAGAAAAUAA